AGGAGGCCAGCAGAGAAUAAUUGAUCAUAUUCAAACACAGUGGCUCCUGUUUGUGUGUGCCUCUCAGAGAUUUGCAUUCUGCCGUAGAGCUUCCCCUCCGCAGAUAUCCCGCUGAAUGAUAUUUAGUGUGACUGACUGACAGCAGCUGGAUCCGGUUGUUUCUGUCAGUGAGCCGCUGACUGACGCCAGGCUCUGAAAAACGGGUGGUGUGCGUGUGGCCGGCCGGCUGUUUGUCCUCCAGCAGAGACCUCCUCACCCUCCCUCCCCCCCUCCAGUCCACCAUAAAACCCUGCAAGCCACUGUCUGAUGAUUGACAGAACCAAACAACACCGCCAAACAAUGAUGCUCCUGUGUGAUUUUAGACAGCAAAAGAGGCGUGAAGAAUGGGAC